GCUUGGCUUAGUUAAGGGGCAGAUAUCAAUUUUUGAGUUUUCAAAAGCAAUGGCCGCUUUGACGGGAUUCUUGGGACUGCUUCGUCUUUCCCAUCAAUCGUCCCCCAAUCGGCCUUUGACAUCU